rnacentral:tRNA from 2 species
GGGUGAUUAGCUCAGCUAGGAGAGCACCUCCCUUACAAGGAGGGGGUCGGCGGUUCGAUCCCGUCAUCACCCACCA